GAUGAACGCUGGCGGCGUGCCUAAUACAUGCAAGUCGAGCGAAUGGAUUAAGAGCUUGCUCUUAUGAAGUUAGCGGCGGACGGGUGAGUAACACGUGGGUAACCUGCCCAUAAGACUGGGAUAACUCCGGGAAACCGGGGCUAAUACCGGAUAACAUUUUGAACCGCAUGGUUCGAAAUUGAAAGGCGGCUUCGGCUGUCACUUAUGGAUGGACCCGCGUCGCAUUAGCUAGUUGGUGAGGUAACGGCUCACCAAGGCAACGAUGCGUAGCCGACCUGGGAGGGUGAUGGGCCAAACUGGGACUGAGACACGGGCCAGACUCCUACGGGAGGCAGCAGUAGGGAAUCUUCCGCAAUGGACGAAAGUCAGACGGAGCAACGCCGCGUGAGUGAUGAAGGCUUUCGGGUCGUAAAACUCUGUUGUUAGGGAAGAACAAGGGCUAGUUGAAUAAGCUGGCACCUUGACGGUACCUAACCAGAAAGCCACGGCUAACUACGUGCCAGCCGCCGCUGUAA
rnacentral:rRNA from 1 species